rnacentral:lncRNA from 1 species
AGAUUUGGAAAAGAAAAUACUUAUAGAGAGAGGAUGAAGUUUGAGAAAGUUUAAAAGGAAGUUGGGAGAGAGAUCAAGUGAAGAUCAAGUAGUCGAGCGGAAAAUUUGGACUCUCUAUGGGAAGUCUUGAUUUCCAUGCAGAACAUGAAAAUCCCCUGUUCGGAUUCCAGACUUCCACCAGCAAAGUCCAGAACCUGAACCCAUCAACCUUAAAAAUUUAAAAAGAAAACGCAUCCAAGUUUCAAAAUUUUAAAUUUUAAAAUAUGUGACCAAUAAAAUCCACAAAAAU